rnacentral:rRNA from 1 species
AUACCAGCUCUCCGAGUGGUGUGGAUGUUUAUUGGGCCUAAAGCAUCCGUAGCUGGCCAAGUUAGUCCCCUGUUAAAUCCACCGAUUUAAUCGUUGGAGUGCGGGGGAUACUGCUUGGCUAGGGGACGGGAGAGGCAGACGGUAUUUUCGGGGUAGGGGUGAAAUCCUAUAAUCCCGGGAAGACCACCAGUGGCGAAGGCUGUCUGCUAGAACGCGCCCGACGGUGAGGGAUGAAAGCUGGGGGAGCGAACCGGAUUAGAUACCCGGGUAGUCCCAGCUGUAAACGAUGCAGGCUAGGUGUUUGGACGGCCACGUGCCGUUCUAGUGCCGCAGGGAAGCCGUUAAGCCUGCCGCCUGGGGAGUACGGUCGCAAGGCUGAA